UACAGAGGUCUCAAGCGUUGUUCGGAUUCAUUGGGCGUAAAGGGUGCGUAGGCGGCGGGGCAAGUCUGAUGUGAAAUCCCGGGGCUCAACCCCGGAACUGCAUUGGAUACUGCCUUGCUAGAGUACUGGAGAGGAGACUGGAAUUUACGGUGUAGCAGUGAAAUGCGUAGAGAUCGUAAGGAAGGCCAGUGGCGAAGGCGAGUCUCUGGACAGUAACUGACGCUGAGGCACGAAGGCCAGGGGAGCAAACGGG
rnacentral:rRNA from 1 species